GAUGAACGCUGGCGGCGUGCCUAAUACAUGCAAGUCGAGCGAACAGACGAGGAGCUUGCGGCUCGGACGUUAGCGGAGGACGGGUGAAUAACACGUGUAUAACCUACCUAUAAGACGGAUAUAACUUCGGGAAACGGGAGCUAAUACCGUAGAAUAUCUUGAACCGCAUGGUGCAAUGGUGAAAUACGGUGUUGCGGUCACGUCUAGAGGCAUCCGGGCUGUAUUGUCUGGUUGGUAAGUUAACGGCUUACUAAGGCUACGAGGCGUAGACGAGGUGAGAGGGUGAUAGGCGACCUUGGAACUGAGACAGCGUCCAGACUACUACGGGAGGCAGCAGUCGGCAAUGUUAGGCAACGGGGGAAAGCCUGACGGAGUAGGGGGGCGUGAGUGAUGAAGGUCCUGGGAUCGUAAAACUGUGUUACUAGGGAAGAACAGCUGUGUCCGUAACCGUGGAGAGAGUGACGGUAACUAAUCAGAAAGCCCCGGCUAACUACGUG
rnacentral:rRNA from 1 species